GUGAGGAAUUUUCCGCAAUGGGCGAAAGCCUGACGGAGCAAUGCCGCGUGAAGGAUGAAGGCCUAUGGGUUGUAAACUUCUUUUCUCAGAAAAGAAUUAUGACGGUAUCUGAGGAAUAAGCAUCGGCUAACUCUGUGCCAGUAGCCGCGGUAAGACAGAGGAUGCAAGCGUUAUCCGGAAUGAUUGGGCGUAAAGCGUCUGUAGGUUGUUUAAAAAGUAUUCUGUCAAAGAUUAGGGCUUAACCCUAGAUAGGCAGAAUAAACUUUUAAGCUAGAGUUUGGUAGAGGCAGAGGGAAUUCCCGGUGGAGCGGUGAAAUGCGUAGAUAUCGGGAGGAACACCAAAGGCGAAGGCACUCUGCUGGGCCAAUACUAACACUGAGAGACGAAAGCGAGGGGAGCAAAUGGGAUUAGAAACCCUUGUAGUCC
rnacentral:rRNA from 1 species